AUUGAACGCUGGCGGCAGGCUUAACACAUGCAAGUCGAGAGAGCGGCAGAAGGGUGAGGAAUGUAUGGGAAACCGCCUGAAGGAGGGGGAUAACUACUGGAAACGGUAGCUAAUACCGCAUACCAUAAGCUGUGCCCAGAUGGGAUUAGCUAGUAGGUGGGGUAAGGGCUACCCUGGGAGACGAUCCCUAGCUGGUCUGAGAGGAUGACCAGCCACCUUGGAAGUGAUACACGUUCCAGAGGCCUACGGGAGGCAGCAGUGGGGACUAUUGCACAAGGGGCUCAAGCCUGCUGCAGCCAUGCGGCGUGUGUGAAGAAGGCCUUCGGGUUGUAAAGCACUUUCAGCGAGGAGGCGUUACUCGCAUAAGAAGCACCGGCUAACACCGUGCCAGCCGCCGCGGUAAUUC
rnacentral:rRNA from 1 species